UCAACACCUUGGUUGAUGGGUGGCUAGGUGGGAUGGCUCACCUAGCACAGAACUGGCCCCAGAAAGCUGGUUUGGGGUUGGGGGUUGGAGAGUGAAAUCAGAGACUGGAGUGUGAGUGAGAGACCACAAAGGCCCGAGAACCUGGGAAAGUUUUGAAGUGCUUGAGACUUGACCCCUGAGCUAGAAGGUGACUCUGGAACGAGUCAAGCAGCCGGUGAUGCUGGGAAAAAGCCCAGCCAUCCUGCAUGUCCAAGGCUUGAUGUCCUGGGCCUGCUGCUGCCAGUACAUUCCUUAGAUUCCAAGAUCUCAGUGGGGAAGAGCCUUCCCAAGAAGAAUCCUCUUACACAAAGACCAAAGUCAAGGAAGCUGGGUCUGUUUUCUGGUCCUCAAGAGUGCAUCUGUUCUCCCCACCCCCACUCCCGCCACAACCCCAGGCAGUGCAGCCUCAGAGUCAAUGAGAAGACAGACUCUGCACUUGGCGUGCAUUCACCCCCAAGUGUAUGGAAGCCAUCUUGAAGCAGCUUCUCAAUUCUCCUGCCAUGUCUCUCUGUUCAGGAUGUUCCUGCCACUGAACCCGAGCCUGGCAUCCAGCAAGCGCUAGCCAAGAGCUUAGCAGUGACCACUUGUCUACUCAUCGGGGGACGGCCAUCAGCCUGGAGGUGAACCAGGGAGAGUCUUGACUAUAGGCACGGCCCCAGCAUCAGUGGGAUCUUGGGGGAGACUUUGACCAUCAGCAGAGGAGGUUUGGGGGGACAAUGUUAUUAAAAUAAAAUGACCCUUGC
rnacentral:lncRNA from 1 species